UUUUUUUUCCUUUACUUUAUUACUUCACAUUCUAAAAGAACUUUCCUUCACAUACUAAAAGAACAUUUACUUGAAAGCAGAAUGCAAGUCCAUCUGUUCUUGCAACUUAUUCCUACCUGAAGCUAUAAUCUGCAGUUCGUGACAUCACAUCUAUUGCCAUACCCGCUGGCUAUACGUCAUGAACAGAAGAUGGGAACUUUGCUAGCAAAUAAACAGGCAGAGCAGCAGAGCUCCUCAGCAGCAAAGUUCCUGCUUUCAUGUUUAAUGUGUUGUACCAAUAAAAAGGGAAGAAUUUAAAUCCCUCCAAUACGAGGUACAGAAAUGGAACUAUCAGAGAUAAAUUACAUUUCAAAGUUUUGCAUAAGGUGUCAAAGAGCCUUUUCCAUGUAAAUGAGCCACUGCGGCACCCCUAAGGGUAUCCAUCCUAAAGACGCUGUCAGCUGCGAAAUACGCCCCAGAUGCCACUGCCUCUCGUUAGCCAGACCUGCGCAGAUCAGCCACCUCCAGCUCUUCUUUCAUCCAGGUGAGCUGGCUCCUGUGACCUCCGUACAGCUGCACAUACUCCCCUCUCCUCUCCCCCGCGAGCCAUGCUUCCCUAGUCCCACUCGGGGCAGCUGGGAGCACCUCACGGCUCGCAGGACGGGAGGUCACGGGCUUUCUCCCGCAGGUGACCCCCUCGAGGCCCGCCGCCGCCACCUGCCCAGGCCGUGCCCGGGGCACCGCGCCCUCCCGACGGCCGGGGAGCGGCGGGGAGCGCUGACCACCCCCGAGGUCUGCGGGGACCACGCACCCGGCGCCGCCGCAAAGCCCCGCCAAGGCCGAUCCGCCCCCUGCGGCCGGCGCCGCAGCAAGCGCGGCUCAAGGUCUACCCAUGAAGGACGCGAGGGGCCGGCUCCGGCCGCUUUUGGUUCUCCUUCAGACGUGCCCCGCCGCGCCUCCCGGAGCACGCCCGCGCCCCCCGCCGCUCCCGCCUUCAGAAACAGCCCCGGCCCCGCCGAGCCCUGCGGCGAUCAGGCCUCUGUCCGCGGGGCCUGCGACUGCGGUGGGCGACCGCCCCUGGGCCCGGAGCCCCCCGUCCGCCGGCACCAGCCGGGGCACAGAGCGGCCGAACCGAGCCGAGGCUCCCGAGGCCGCAGCAAGGGGUGGGAGGGCAGCGAGGGCCCCUGUCCGCCCUCGCCGGACCCUCCGCAGCCUCCGCCACCGCGCCGACCCCUCCGCCGGCGCCCGGAGCCGGAACUUACCGCCGA
ensembl:lncRNA